GCAGGGGUAGUCAAGCGGUCAACGACGCCAGAUUCAGGGUCUGGUUCCGUAGGGAUUCGCGGGUUCGAUCCCCGUCCCCUGCA
rnacentral:tRNA from 1 species